rnacentral:rRNA from 1 species
CCUGGCUCAGAUUGAACGCUGGCGGCAGGCUUAACACAUGCAAGUCGAACGGUAACAUAAAGAAGCUUGCUUCUUUGAUGACGAGUGGCGGACGGGUGAGUAAUGCUUGGGAAUCUAGCUUAUGGAGGGGGAUAACUACGGGAAACUGUAGCUAAUACCGCGUAGAAUCGAGAGAUGAAAGUGUGGGACCUUCGGGCCACAUGCCAUAGGAUGAGCCCAAGUGGGAUUAGGUAGUUGGUGAGGUAAAGGCUCACCAAGCCGACGAUCUCUAGCUGGUCAUCCUCUCAGACCAGCCACACUGGGACUGAGACACGGCCCAGACUCCUACGG